AGGGUUUGAUCCUGGCUCAGAUUGAACGCUGGCGGUAUGCUUAACACAUGCAAGUCGAACGGAAACGAUGGAAGCUUGCUUCCAGGCGUCGAGUGGCGGACGGGUGAGUAAUGCUUGGGAAUCUGCCUAAUAGUGGGGGAAAACACGGGGAAACUCGUGCUAAUACCGCAUAAUCUCUACGGAGGAAAGGGGGCCUCUACAUGUAAGCUCUCGCUAAUAGAUGAGCCCAAGUCAGAUUAGCUUGUUGGUGAGGUAAAAGCUCACCAAGGCUACGAUCUGUAGCUGGUCUGAGAGGACGAUCAGCCACACUGGGACUGAGACACGGCCCAGACUCCUACGGGAGGCAGCAGUGGGGAAUAUUGCACAAUGGGCGCAAGCCUGAUGCAGCAAUACCGCGUGUGUGAAGAAGGCCUUAGGGUUGUAAAGCACUUUCAAUAGAGAAGAAAAGCUUAGAGUUAAUAACUCUAAGCAUUGACGUAACCUAUAGAAGAAGCACCGGCUAAAUCCGUGCCAGCAGCCGCGGUAAUACGGAUGGUGCGAGCGUUAAUCGGAAUUACUGGGCGUAAAGCGCGCGUAGGCUGUUUUAUAAGUCGGAUGUGAAAUCCCCGGGCUCAACCUGGGAACUGCAUCCGAAACUAUUUAACUAGAGUAUGGGAGAGGUAAGUAGAAUUUCCGGUGUAGCGGUGAAAUG
rnacentral:rRNA from 1 species